rnacentral:lncRNA from 1 species
CUUACCUCGCUUACCUUUGGGCUCAUGUAGUGUGAUUUCAUCUUUGCCUAUGUUGAUCGUAUGAAAGCGUCUUUCAUUUGAGAGGUAUUGAAGUUGAAAGUUAUCUUUUGGCCUUUCGAGAACCUGAAAAGUAGCAACACAAGAAAAAUUCAUAUCUUGGUUAAUGGAAACAUUCUUCACUACCCGUUCCUUAUUUUUUUUCUUUUGUUUCUUUUUCUAACUCAUUUUCUC